rnacentral:rRNA from 3 species
UGGGGAAUAUUGGACAAUGGGGGCAACCCUGAUCCAGCCAUGCCGCGUGAGUGAUGAAGGCCUUCGGGUUGUAAAGCUCUUUUGGCGGGGACGAUGAUGACGGUACCCGCAGAAUAAGCCCCGGCUAACUUCGUGCCAGCAGCCGCGGUAAGACGAAGGGGGCUAGCGUUGUUCGGAAUUACUGGGCGUAAAGCGAGUGUAGGUGGUUGUCAUAGUCAGGUGUGAAAGCCUUGAGCUCAACUCAAGAAAUGCACUUGAUACUGGGCGACUAGAGGACCGGAGAGGAUAGUGGAAUUCCCAGUGUAGUGGUGAAAUACGUAGAGAUUGGGAAGAACACCAGUGGCGAAGGCGGCUAUCUGGACGGUUUCUGACACUAAGACUCGAAAGCGUGGGGAGCAAACAGG